GCGGGUAUAGCUCAUUUGGUAGAGCGCAAGUCUGUGGCACUUGAGGUGAGAGGGUCGGAGCCUCUUAUCCGCC
rnacentral:tRNA from 1 species